CUUCCACUUUCUUCUCCUCAGCUGGAGCAGCAGCAGUGGAGGGGGCAGGACGUCCUGCUGGUGCAGCACCAGCUGCUGGAGCAGGUCCACCAGCCCCUACAUUGCAGAUGAGGCUCCCAAUGUUGACGUUGGCCAGGGGCAUUGAUCUUAUCCUCCGUGACUGUCACCUCAUCGUCGUGCAGAAUGAGGGCCGAGUAGAUGCAGGCGAGCUUGGAGACGGAGGCCAUGGCACGGGCGAGUGUAGGGCAGGCGCUGCCGGACGCGGUGCUAGUCGCAGGAUGAAGUGAGGGCCUUACCCCAACGCGGCCUUAGCUUCCUCGGAAGGACCGAGCAGCUUGGCGGCAGCUGAGGGAAGGGGUCGGUUUCUUCUACAUAGUAAGAUUUUG
rnacentral:lncRNA from 1 species